rnacentral:rRNA from 1 species
UACGAAGGGUGCAAGCGUUAAUCGGAAUUACUGGGCGUAAAGGGUGCGUAGGCGGUUCGGUAAGUUUCGUGUGAAAUCUUCGGGCUCAACUCGAAGUCUGCACGAAAUACUGCCGGGCUUGAGUGUGGGAGAGGUGAGUGGAAUUUCCGGUGUAGCGGUGAAAUGCGUAGAUAUCGGAAGGAACACCUGUGGCGAAAGCGGCUCACUGGACCACAACUGACGCUGAGGCACGAAAGCUAGGGGAGCAAACAGG